UCUAUGCUGUCUGGGGCUAGAGAGAGUUGGAGUUCAGUGAGCCAAGCGGACCUAAAACCCAGCCCCCAAAGCCAUUUCUCCUCUGAAGUAAACUCCUUCUGAUACCAAAGAACAAACUCUAAGUUUAAACUGAACUGACAUAAUCUUCAAACCAAAAGAUACCAGCUGGGCCAGAGUGAUCAGAAUAACCACCUGCAUUUUAAGGGCUGCCUACUCCCAAAUGCGGCUGCCUGACAAUUAUGUUCAGAGGCCCUGCUCUCCAUCCUGUGAAUACAUGUGAGAUCAGAUGAUCAGGUAUAAGAGAGAGAGCCUGCUCAGUGAUUGUGUCCAAAGUGUGGAACGCCACCCCCUUGAAGAUCUGCAAGGCCCCCUCCCUCUUCGCUUUUAAACAGCUUUUGAAGGUCUUCUUGUUUCAAUGUGAUUGUAAUGUGUGAGCUAAAUCUGCUAUUUUUAAGAUUUUAUAUAUGUUGCCUUGAAUGUAUAAGGCUUUUAUGUUUCUA